GUAGCUGAGCGGUAAAGCGCUUGGCUUCUGAACCGAUAUUCCCGGGUUCAAAUCCUGGC
rnacentral:tRNA from 1 species